CAUAUGAUUUUACUUAAUCAAGGUACCAACACCAGUGGCGUCUAUAGAUGUCCUAAAUCAUGUCCUAUCACUCCUUUAUGUCGGCAUGCAUCAAAUAUCAAGGUACCAACACCAGUGGCUUGCUCCCGGAGAUUCAGGUCAUAUUUCUAUUUAUUUUUUCCUUAGACAAAUUAAUUGUGCUACCACACGGCUCAAGACUUCUUGGGAUCAAUAAUAUCCUAUCUGCUUCCUGUUGUGAGUAUACUUCAAACUAUGCACAUUUUCUUACUUCUUUUGGUAACAUAUUGCUGGUAGGACUUAGGAGACAAAACAAAAAAGUACCAAAUAGUAUAAUCUUUAGCAAUUUUGUAUGGGAUAUGAUUACUUCCACUGGUCUGUGAUAAACUCUUAUGGUGUUGAAAUUUGUUCAAGCUAGUGUGAUAACAAUUGCUCUGAAUUGUGAGUUUAGCAUUUCUUAAUUAGAAUUCUUGGUUUGAGCUUCUGGAAUAAAUUUCUCUCCUUUCCACUUUUCUUAGCCACGUUGAUUGAAAUCCUCUAGCGGCAGCCUAAUCCAACUGAUCCAUUUUGGUUGUCCAUUGCAUCAUAGAUCCAAUUGUGGUGCUUUGAGAUUCUUUUGUUGAUUAUCUUUGAACUGCUUUUGUGUGAUAAUGUUGCUAUGUGUUGUGUCUCGUCUUCCCAUAAUGAACUUGAUGUGUGGAUUGUAUUUUAACUGAUCUUGUAUGGUAAUUCUGUUAUGCAUCAUGACUCAGCCUUCUUUCUUGAACUUGACAAGUGGACUGUGUGCUGCUUGACUUUUGUUAUCGAGAUGUGUUUAAUUGGUCUUCUUAUUUGGAAAUAACUGCACUUGUUUUCAAAAUGUGGAUUGUGAUUGCUUAACUGAUUUUUAUUUAUUAAAAAUAAAUUGUAAUUAGUAAAUAAUACAGUUCAUAGAAUGAAAAUAUCUUGAAGUUUGGGUUAUGUGUGCCUAUGAAAAGUGAAUAUUAUCAUCAAUGAUUAUCUAAAAAUUUUCUCUUGUUAGGUUCGGCUUGGAUGACACUGUCAAAAUCUUUCAUCGAUUACUGCAUAUGGGGAUGGGACAACCUACCUCGAACCGUACUCAUGUACUAUCCAAAGGUGAAGUCUUUUCUUUUUUAUAUCCAACAAUAUAUUAGAAGUUGCUUUUAAUUAAAUUUGCUUUGCUUAAGUGGUGAUGCAUCUCCAAUCGUUAUACCUUAGUCAAAACCUCUUUAAAAUUUUUUUGAUACUUAAGCUGUUAAGCAUUCUUCCUUGCAGUUGCAACUUUUGAAUGUAAUAGUAAAAUUUCUUCGAAUGUAAUAGUAAAAAAGUUUGAAUGUAUACGUUUUUUUAUUACAAGACAAAUAUUUUGGUAUAGCAAAGAUUUUAUACUCUAUUCAGGAUUGGGAGGAUGUCCUGAUCUGCAUAGAAGUCAGUCAAGUCACAGAUACGGGCAGCAGCAAGAGAUUUGAUUUACAGAUAAGUAUGAGUUUCAUAUAUUACUUUGGACAGUAAAAAAAAAUGUUAUGCCUAAUUAAUAAAAAAACAAUUUACAAGGAUGAGAAAUAAAAAAGCACUAAACUACUUAUUUGUUUGCCAUCUUUUGCCUAUGAUUUCUGCGUAUGCUUCAAAAUGUGCUUCUUUUUUAACUAUUAUUUUUUUGUACUAUUGGUAACAUAUACAGUAAUUUUUUUUAUGGCCUUUUGAAGGAAAUAUAAAUUUUAUUUGAUUUUAGUAAAUUUUAAUUCUAAGUGCUUCUAGAAAAUUAUUAUAAAAAAACUUUAAAUAAUAGUAUGAACUACAUUUUAGUUCAUACUAAUAUGGAAGAAUGAGAGUUAUAGUAUAGAAGAUCAAUAUUAUGGAGGAAUGAAAUCUCUGUCAGAGAAGGUAGAUGCACUUUCCCAGAAUCUUGUGAGGGAAACGUCUGUACUAAAUAAUAAAGAAGACACUUUGAGGAGUGAAGAAGCCAACAAAGCAAAUCUUGUUAAAAAUAUUGAAGAAUUGAAGCAUUCUGGAAAAGAGAAGUCCUCUGCUGUUAAAAAGGCUGAAGAGGGGGCAGCAGAUCUGAAAAAGAAAGUUGAUGAGCUCACAAAGAGUCUAGAGGAGCAUGAUAAAGAAUACCAGGUAAAGGCUUAAGUUGUCUGGCUUUGUGAUGCCUAUCAGUGGGAUUUCUGUUAUGCCUAUUGAGGUGUUUUUGGCAACUUACUUUUUAUCUUUUAGGAAAAGCAGUUGCUAAAUUUGAUUUGUAUUAUGUACAGUUGCAUUUUUCCUGUGGUUUCAUCAAAGAAUUAGAACAAUUAUGGCUACAACUUUGUAUGUUGGAUACAUUAGAGGAUCAUUAAUUCAAAAAAGGAUAUUCAAUUUGCAUGGACUUA